rnacentral:RNase_MRP_RNA from 2 species
UCGGUGAGCAAAGAAUCGCUUUCGCAGCAUUCGCACAGAAAGCCUCGCGCGCUUUCGCUCUACGCUGUGGGGAAAGUCCCCGGAGACGCCUGCUGCGUGGUCCUGCCCUCGUCCACCCCAAACCCGCCGAGAGGGGAAAGCGGCCGCCAUUAAUUCGGCGGUGGUACUCGGUGGGGGGCGGGGGCCGGUGGUGAAACUUGCAGUCUCUUUUACGAUCGCUUUGCCGUAUCGGAAAGGGCUUCAUCUCGCCAGACCCCAUGCGCUCGCUAUCUUGCUCGCUCAUCACCCAAUUACUCCCCCCUCCCAAGCGCGCCGCCUGUGCUCCCGACGGGCGAAGAUACGAGCUAGCCGAGACACGGUGGAUGCGUGGGGGCUUGAGGAAAAGGUGACGAGGCCCAUCGAGCGAGUGGCACCUUUGUUGCUCAUAGCCGAUAGUUAUGCGAUUGCGGCGCCCUGAGAUACCCCCAGUGGAUAUUUCACGCCGUAACUCAACGGGGCUAACUCUUGCUCAGCG